rnacentral:misc_RNA from 2 species
UUGAAUACGAUUGGUACUGAUGCUGGCUCUUCACUGAGCAUGUGCUCGUCCAUCUAUUUAUCUUCUCUUGUGCACAUUUUGUAGUCUUGAACGAACCUCUCGCAGUCAAUGCGGUUUGGGAGAUUGGGCGCGAGCCCUCCUCCUGCUUCUUCAAGGCUAUGUUUUCAUAUACACUAUAAAGUUACAGAAUGUCUUUUAACGAUUGCGCUUGUCGUAGUCAUUAAACCUAUA